GAUGAACGCUGGCGGCGUGCCUAAUACAUGCAAGUCGAGCGAACGGACGAGAAGCUUGCUUUUCUGAUGUUAGCGGCGGACGGGUGAGUAACACGUGGAUAACCUACCUAUAAGACUGGGAUAACUUCGGGAAACCGGAGCUAAUACCGGAUAAUAUUUUGAACCGCAUGGUUCAAAAGUGAAAGACGGUCUUGCUGUCACUUAUAGAUGGAUCCGCGCUGCAUUAGCUAGUUGGUACGGUAACGGCUUACCAAGGCAACGAUGCAUAGCCGACCUGAGAGGGUGAUCGGCCACACUGGAACUGGGACACGGUCCAGACUCCUACGGGAGGCAGCAGUAGGGAAUCUUCCGCAAUGGGCGAAAGCCUGACGGAGCAACGCCGCGUGAGUGAUGAAGGUCUUCGGAUCGUAAAACUCUGUUAUUAGGGAAGAACAUAUGUGUAAGUAACUGUGCACAUCUUGACGGUACCUAAUCAGAAAGCCACGGCUAACUACGUG
rnacentral:rRNA from 1 species